ACUCUAGCCCCCUUCUACUCCUUUUUCUCCCCCUCUUGCUCCGCGUAACGGCAGUCCUCUCCAUCGGAGUACGUCAGUGCACGUUGAAUCGUUUCGCCUCUUGCAUCAGGGCCUUUCGGUACGACCGCACGAGAAAUAACGUUUCCAAACGAUUCAACCGAGAAAGUCACCGGUUUCGCGUGGUCGGGUGAUCCCGUCUUUCGGACGAAAGCCUGGCUGUGGUCGCGCGGGUUUUCGACAAAUGUCACGGGCGAACGCGCACGGUGAAGACGAUCGCGGGUGUACGCGGUGGUAGCACUCCUCUCGGAGGAAGCGCGAACCGUGCCGCGGCGAGACGUAGAAAUAACUUAGACGGUGCGAAACGUGGUAAAGCGCGACACCAACCGAUUCGUUCGACGCUCGCCUGUAUGCGGUCCGUAACUCACUAAGAGUGCUGGUAGCAGCGGCACAUCGACGAGAUGCAUGGUGGCUACGGGCACUAGCCGGGAGGGGGCACGUCCCUGGCGCGGGGAGGAGACACGUCGCGGUGUCGGAGUGUCGGGUGGGUGAAAUGUCCCCUUAAAGUCUACCUACGUGGACGCCAGUUGACAGUGAGAACCACGUACCGCGCGUAGUGUCGCGCUUCCGUGUUGGAUCAUUUAUCGCUGGCGAACGGCCUCGAUGAUGAGCUGGAUGGACGUCACCGACACGAAUUUCAAACGGGCUUGCACCGUGUGUCAUGACUAGACUGCGGAUGUUUACGCGCGAACGAUAACGCAAGACGUAAUGCAGGCGUGCACGAAAGUACUCCAACGGUUGCGUUUUGGAUCGUUCGGUUGUCCCUCUGCGGUUGCAUGUCUACUCUCUCAAACAUCCCAUCAAAACAACCAUGAUCGUACAUCGUAUAGUAAGUUAUUUUUCAGGUAUCGAGGAGUUAUAAAUUGGAUGGCAUUUCCUGGAUCAGGGGAGUCCAGAGAAUCCAUUGAGCCCAAAUACGAGACUGUCGUCCAAAAGUUGUGGGUUUUAGAGGGAUUGGAGGGUUGUGAGGGGUGGGUUUGUCCGAGAGGGAUCUCAUGGGGUGCAUUUUGUAGAGGGCAUCAAGGAGAGUCGUCCUAAAGUUUUUUUUAAUGUUUUCAACCCCUUUCGUCACCUCUGGCAUCUUUAGAAGUGACGUUUUUCGACGCCCCCCUCUUUAAGGGGGUGA